rnacentral:rRNA from 1 species
GUUAUAUGGUCAAGUGAAGAAGCGCAUACGGUGGAUGCCUUGGCAGUCAGAGGCGAUGAAAGACGUGGUAGCCUGCGAAAAGCUUCGGGGAGUCGGCAAACAGACUGUGAUCCGGAGGUAUCUGAAUGGGGGAACCCAGCCAUCAUAAGAUGGUUAUCUUGUACUGAAUACAUAGGUGCAAGAGGCGAACCAGGGGAACUGAAACAUCUAAGUACCCUGAGGAAAAGAAAUCAACCGAGAUUCCCUUAGUAGUGGCGAGCGAACGGGGACCAGCCCUUAAGUUGUAUUGAGAUUAGCGGAACGUUCUGGAAAGGACGGCCAUAGUGGGUGAUAGCCCUGUACGCGAAAAUCCCUUUGCAAUGAAAUCGAGUAGGACGGGGCACGAGAAACCUUGUCUGAAUAUGGGGGGACCAUCCUCCAAGGCUAAAUACUACUGACUGACCGAUAGUGAACCAGUACCGUGAGGGAAAGGCGAAAAGAACCGCGGAGAGCGGAGUGAAAUAGAUCCUGAAACCGUAUGCGUACAAGCAGUGGGAGCCCACUUUGUUGGGUGACUGCGUACCUUUUGUAUAAUGGGUCAGCGACUUAUUUUCAGUGGCGAGCUUAACCGAAUAGGGGAGGCGUAGCGAAAGCGAGUCUUAAUAGGGCGUCUAGUCGCUGGGAAUAGACCCGAAACCGGGCGAUCUAUCCAUGGGCAGGUUGAAGGUUGGGUAACACUAACUGGAGGACCGAACCGACUACCGUUGAAAAGUUAGCGGAUGACCUGUGGAUCGGAGUGAAAGGCUAAUCAAGCUCGGAGAUAGCUGGUUCUCCUCGAAAGCUAUUUAGGUAGCGCCUCAUGUAUCACUGUAGGGGGUAGAGCACUGUUUCGGCUAGGGGGUCAUCCCGACUUACCAAACCGAUGCAAACUCCGAAUACCUACAAGUGCCGAGCAUGGGAGACACACGGCGGGUGCUAACGUCCGUCGUGAAAAGGGAAACAACCCAGACCGUCAGCUAAGGUCCCAAAGUCAUGGUUAAGUGGGAAACGAUGUGGGAAGGCUUAGACAGCUAGGAGGUUGGCUUAGAAGCAGCCACCCUUUAAAGAAAGCGUAAUAGCUCACUAGUCGAGUCGGCCUGCGCGGAAGAUGUAACGGGGCUCAAACCAUGCACCGAAGCUACGGGUAUCAUCUUUUGAUGAUGCGGUAGAGGAGCGUUCUGUAAGCCUGUGAAGGUGAGUUGAGAAGCUUGCUGGAGGUAUCAGAAGUGCGAAUGCUGACAUGAGUAACGACAAUGGGUGUGAAAAACACCCACGCCGAAAGACCAAGGUUUCCUGCGCAACGUUAAUCGACGCAGGGUUAGUCGGUCCCUAAGGCGAGGCUGAAAAGCGUAGUCGAUGGAAAACAGGUUAAUAUUCCUGUACUUCUGGUUAUUGCGAUGGAGGGACGGAGAAGGCUAGGCCAGCCUGGCGUUGGUUGUCCAGGUUUAAGGUGGUAGGCUGAGAUCUUAGGUAAAUCCGGGAUCUUAAGGCCGAGAGCUGAUGACGAGUGUUCUUUUAGAACACGAAGUGGUUGAUGCCAUGCUUCCAAGAAAAGCUUCUAAGCUUCAGGUAACCAGGAACCGUACCCCAAACCGACACAGGUGGUUGGGUAGAGAAUACCAAGGCGCUUGAGAGAACUCGGGUGAAGGAACUAGGCAAAAUGGCACCGUAACUUCGGGAGAAGGUGCGCCGGUGAGGGUGAAGCAUUUACUGCGUAAGCUCAUGCCGGUCGAAGAUACCAGGCCGCUGCGACUGUUUAUUAAAAACACAGCACUCUGCAAACACGAAAGUGGACGUAUAGGGUGUGACGCCUGCCCGGUGCCGGAAGGUUAAUUGAUGGGGUUAGCGCAAGCGAAGCUCUUGAUCGAAGCCCCGGUAAACGGCGGCCGUAACUAUAACGGUCCUAAGGUAGCGAAAUUCCUUGUCGGGUAAGUUCCGACCUGCACGAAUGGCGUAACGAUGGCGGCGCUGUCUCCACCCGAGACUCAGUGAAAUUGAAAUCGCUGUGAAGAUGCAGUGUAUCCGCGGCUAGACGGAAAGACCCCGUGAACCUUUACUAUAGCUUUGCACUGGACUUUGAAUUUGCUUGUGUAGGAUAGGUGGGAGGCUUUGAAGCGUGGACGCCAGUCUGCGUGGAGCCAACCUUGAAAUACCACCCUGGCAACUUUGAGGUUCUAACUCAGGUCCGUUAUCCGGAUCGAGGACAGUGUAUGGUGGGUAGUUUGACUGGGGCGGUCUCCUCCUAAAGAGUAACGGAGGAGUACGAAGGUGCGCUCAGACCGGUCGGAAAUCGGUCGUAGAGUAUAAAGGCAAAAGCGCGCUUGACUGCGAGACAGACACGUCGAGCAGGUACGAAAGUAGGUCUUAGUGAUCCGGUGGUUCUGUAUGGAAGGGCCAUCGCUCAACGGAUAAAAGGUACUCCGGGGAUAACAGGCUGAUACCGCCCAAGAGUUCAUAUCGACGGCGGUGUUUGGCACCUCGAUGUCGGCUCAUCACAUCCUGGGGCUGAAGCCGGUCCCAAGGGUAUGGCUGUUCGCCAUUUAAAGUGGUACGCGAGCUGGGUUUAGAACGUCGUGAGACAGUUCGGUCCCUAUCUGCCGUGGACGUUUGAGAUUUGAGAGGGGCUGCUCCUAGUACGAGAGGACCGGAGUGGACGAACCUCUGGUGUUCCGGUUGUCACGCCAGUGGCAUUGCCGGGUAGCUAUGUUCGGAAAAGAUAACCGCUGAAAGCAUCUAAGCGGGAAACUUGCCUCAAGAUGAGAUCUCACUGGAACCUUGAGUUCCCUAAAGGGCCGUCGAAGACUACGACGUUGAUAGGUUGGGUGUGUAAGCGCUGUGAGGCGUUGAGCUAACCAAUACUAAUUGCCCGUGAGGCUUGACCAUAUAACACCCAAGCAAUU